rnacentral:rRNA from 1 species
UACGGGGGGGAGCAAGCGUUGUUCGGAUUUACUGGGCGUAAGGGCGCGUAGGCGGCCACUGCAAGUCGGUUGUGAAAUCUCCGGGCUUAACCCGGAAAGGUCAAUCGAUACUGCAGGGCUAGAGUGCAGAAGGGGCAACUGGAAUUCUCGGUGUAGCGGUGAAAUGCGUAGAUAUCGAGAGGAACACCUGCGGCGAAGGCGGGUUGCUGGGCUGACACUGACGCUGAAGCGCGAAAGCUAGGGGAGCAAACGGG